rnacentral:rRNA from 1 species
GACGAACGCUGGCGGCGUGCUUAACACAUGCAAGUCGAGCGCGGCCCUCCCUCGGGGGGUGUCCGAGCGGCGAACGGGUGAGUAACACGUGGGCAACCUGCCCCCGGCUCCGGGAUAACCCCAAGAAAUUGGGGCUAAUACCGGAUACGACCGCUGACCGCAUGGCCUGGGGGGGGAAAGAUUUAUCGGCUGGGGUUGGGCCCGCGGCCUAUCAGCUUGUGGGUGGGGUAGUGGCCUACCAAGGCGACGACGGGUAGCCGGCCUGAGAGGGUGAGCGGCCACACUGGGACUGAGACACGGCCCAGACUCCUACGGGAGGCAGCAGUGGGGAAUAUUGCGCAAUGGGCGAAAGCCUGACGCAGCGACGCCGCGUGAGGGAUGACGGCCUUCGGGUUGUAAACCUCUUUCAGCAGGGACGAAGCCGCGAGGUGACGGUACCUGCAGAAGAAGCACCGGCCAACUACGUGCCAGCCGCCGCGGUAAAAC